ensembl:lncRNA
AUCGACUGCAGACGGACGGGGUUCCGCUGAAAGACAAAACAGGGCUUGAGUCACAGCAACAACACAUCAAGAACUAAAAUAACCAAAUGUGCCAUGCCGUCAUUAGGAAGGGAGAAGCCUUUCGUAAAUCUUUAUCAGAAUCGUUGGUGACUGUCUGACUAUCCCUGAACCAACGAGCCCCUGAGAGGCCCCUGUGGAGGUCUGAGGGGGGGCCCCUGUGGAGGUCUGAGGGGUCCCACCUGGGCCCCGGGCUCCUGGGAGGAGGGCGUCUGGAUGUUGGGGCGAGAGGGCAGCUGGUGCGGCGGUCUCCUUGGCGACUGGGGCAUGCGUGCGGUCGGGAUGGGGGGCUCUGUGGAGAAGACCUCCAUUGUGCUGCUCUCAACUCUGGGUGUGUCCGCCGGCCUCUGCUCUGACGGCCCCAGGCUCUCCUCCGUCUCCGUGCCGGGGUCCGUCACGUCUGCUCCCUGAAAGGCACGGCGUUCUACAUCAGACUAGAGGGGGCGGCGGGGGGCGAUGAGAGCAUUAAGGUUCCCACACAGACACACCCUCCGCCAACAGCCUCUGAACCCCAGUGACUCACUUUGGCACAGAAAACACAAAGUCGAAAGGGGAAGACAUACGGUAAGAGCUUCACACACUGAGGGCGGCGUGGAACCCCAGCAAUAGAAGCUACACAACUAGUGACCUCUUAAUCAUCGACAAGAUUCUUAGCAAUGAAUAAAUAGGAACACAUUUCCUAGGUUUAGCAAGAUUCAGAUUUAAAAUGUGAAAGGCCACAAACAAGAGCUGUUGACUGACGGUGGACGGUACACAAACCCUCUGUUGCAUAAUAAUAAUAACCAUUUGUUCUAAACUUCAACCGCUUAAACAAAUGUUUUUAAUGGGUCAAUAAAAGCUUGACCUCAGCACGCCAACAGGGUGUUGAGCGCAGCCUGCCCCCCAAAUGACUCACCGCACCGCCCACCAGCGUACUACGAGAACACACCAGCCAAAGGUUCAACCAUUAAAGUCAACAGCCAGCGCAUGGCACAAGCCCUCCAUUAUACCAGACGCUAGGCGGAGGGGGGGGGGGAGGCAGAGAGAGGGAGGGGGGGAGACAGACGGUAAGAGAGGGAGGGAGGGAGACCGAUACAGGGAGUCGGAGAGAAACUGGAAGAGUGACAGCAUGGAAAUACUGAGCAUGAAAGGGUGUGCAAGUCUGGAAGGGAAGGGGGAUGAGGAGGGUGAGCCUCCAGGAAUGGGUGGAAGGGUGUUGCCGUGUGUAAGGAGAGGUCAAACCUCGGGGUCGUCUCCCUCAUAGCCGUCGUUGGCGUCUCCGCUGCCUUCGUUGCUGUCCUCGCCCUCCUCCCCCAUACCGCCAUCUUCCUCCUCUUCCUCGUCCUCCUCCUCCUCCUCAUCAUCUUCCUCUUCUUCGUCAUAGUCCU